AGGAUGAACGCUAGCGGCAGGCCUAAUACAUGCAAGUCGAGGGAUAGUAUCGUAGCAAUAUGAUAUGAAACCGGCGCACGGGUGCGUAACACGUAUGCAACCUACCUUUCACUGGGGAAUAGCUCCGAGAAAUCGGAAUUAAUACCCCAUAACAUUACGACCUGGCAUCAGGAUGUAAUUAAAGCUCCGGCGGUGAUUGAGUGGGCAUGCGUUGCUAUUAGCUAGUUGGUGAGGUAAAGGCUCACCAAGGCUACGAUGCAGUAGGGGGGUCUGAGAGGAUGACUCCCCCACUACGUGGUACUGAGACCACCGGACCACGUACCUACCGUA
rnacentral:rRNA from 1 species